rnacentral:tRNA from 1 species
GCGCGGUUAGCUCAGGGGUAGAGCACUUCCUUGACACGGAAGGGGUCGCAGGUUCAAUUCCUGCAUCGCGCACCA